AUAGGAGACUUUAAUGAGAUCCUCUACUCUCAUGAGAAGGAGGGUGGAGCGCCACGACCUAUGACCAUGAUGCAGAAUUUUAGAGAUGCACCGGUGGAUUGCGAACUAGAGGAUAUGGGUUUCAAUGGAGAUCAAUUUACGUGGAGAAGAAGAAGACAGCAGGAAUGGCUGGACAGGGCCGUGUGUAACGGGCAGUUCCAUGCUUUGUUUCCUUAUGCUACGGUGACAAACACGGGCCAUACCAAGUCAGAUCAGAGACCAAUCUUCAUGGACACAGAAGGUGCGUUACCUAGUGAUGAGCAGCGACAAAGGAUUAAGCAGUUCAAAGCCCGUUGGCUCCAGGAGGAUGAUGUGGUUCAGCUGGCUUCACAAGCUUGGGAUAGAACAGAUCCAACUGCAUCCAUAGCAUUGCAGACUGCAGCAGUUCACCAGGAGAAGCAUGUCUGGGAUCGAGAGAUUCUCAAGGCUCCACAUCGGCGCCUUAAGGACCUAAACGUCGAGUUAGAGGCACUGUGUUUGGUCCCCCUCACUGAUGAGGCGGCAGAAUGGCAACGCCAGAUUCUUAAUGAGAUCGAAGAAAACUUGAAGAAGGAGGAGAUUUAUUGGGUUCAGAGAAGCCGUGCUAACUGGCUAAAGUUUGGUGAUUAA
rnacentral:rRNA from 1 species